CGAACGGGAAAUAUUUCAUUGAGACUUCGGUGGAUUUGAUCUAUUUCUAGUGGCGGACGGGUGAGUAACGCGUGGGUAACCUGCCUUAUACAGGGGGAUAACAGUCAGAAAUGGCUGCUAAUACCGCAUAAGCGCACAGAGCUGCAUGGCUCAGUGUGAAAAACUCCGGUGGUAUAAGAUGGACCCGCGUUGGAUUAGCUGGUUGGUGGGGUAACGGCCCACCAAGGCGACGAUCCAUAGCCGGCCUGAGAGGGUGAACGGCCACAUUGGGACUGAGACACGGCCCAGACUCCUACGGGAGGCAGCAGUGGGGAAUAUUGCACAAUGGGGGAAACCCUGAUGCAGCGACGCCGCGUGAAGGAAGAAGUAUCUCGGUAUGUAAACUUCUAUCAGCAGGGAAGAUAGUGACGGUACCUGACUAAGAAGCCCCGGCUAACUACGUGCCAGCAGCCGCGGUAAUACGUAGGGGGCAAGCGUUAUCCGGAUUUACUGGGUGUAAAGGGAGCGUAGACGGUGUGGCAAGUCUGAUGUGAAAGGCAUGGGCUCAACCUGUGGACUGCAUUGGAAACUGUCAUACUUGAGUGCCGGAGGGGUAAGCGGAAUUCCUAGUGUAGCGGUGAAAUGCGUAGAUAUUAGGAGGAACACCAG
rnacentral:rRNA from 1 species